UAUCAGUCAUGCAUAGCAUAUCAAUAAGCGGAGGAAAAGAAACUAACAAGGAUUCCCUUAGUAACGGCGAGUGAAGCGGGAAGAGCUCAAAUUUGAAAUCUUCAAGGUUUUACCUUGACGAAUUGUAGUUUAAAGAAGUGUUUUCUGUUGAAGUUUUGGUAAAAGUUCUUUGGAAUAGGACAUCAUAGAGGGUGAGAGUCCCGUAUUUGACCAUUACUUUCAGCUUUGUGAUACACUUUCAAAGAGUCGGAUUGUUUGGGAAUGCAGUCCAAAAUGGGUGGUAAAUUUCAUCUAAAGCUAAAUAUUGGCGAGAGACCGAUAGCGAACAAGUACCGUGAGGGAAAGAUGAAAAGAACUUUGAAAAGAGAGUUAAACAGUACGUGAAAUUGUCAAAAGGGAAGCGUUUGACACCAGUGUUGUUUUCUCGAAAAUCAAUUAAAAAGAGUUGGAUUUUGUGUUGUAUUGACUUUAUCAGCUUUCUUCACUCUUUUCCAGCUUUUUUUAAUGCACUUUUCGUUUAACAAGUCAACAUCAGUUUCUUUUGUUGUAAAAAGGUCAUUGGAAGGUGGCUUUCUCUUCGGAGAAAGUGUUUAUAGCCUUUGACUCAUGCAAUCGGAGAGACUGAGGUCUGCAGCGUAGAUCCUUCGGGGUUAGAUACAUUUGUGCUAAGUUAUAGCUUUUCAUAGACAACUUGUUGACUAUGUUUAGUCUUGUAGCUUACUCGCUUAUGCUAUUUUACCUACGCUUAGGAUGUUGAACUCUAUCACACACAG
rnacentral:rRNA from 1 species